AAAUUACUAACAAAUUAGUAAUAUACCCAAAAAGGGAGGGGAAAAAAAAACAACAACCAUGGUUUUAAAAUUUGAGAAAAGCUUUAUCAUUCCCAUGUUUGUGAUCAUCAUUUUGGUGAUCACUUGUGCAUCACAAGUGGUGUCCGGCCGGUCGAUGCAUGAACCGUCCAUCGUUGAGAAACACGAACAAUGGAUGGCUCAGCAUGGACGCACUUACAAGGACGAGCUAGAGAAGGCAAUGCGUCUUAAUAUAUUCAAGCAAAACCUUGAAUACAUUGAGAAAGCCAACAAGGAGGGGAAUCGGACGUACAAGUUGGGCACCAAUGAAUUUUCAGACUUAACUAACGAGGAGUUUCGUGCUUUAUAUACAGGAUACAACAGGCCAGUACCAAGCGUAAGCCGCCAGUCAUCACGGCCAUCCACCUUCAAGUACCAAAACGUGACUGAUGUUCCGACUAGCAUCGACUGGAGGGAGAAAGGAGCUGUCACUCAUAUAAAGGAUCAAGGCCAAUGUGGUAAGUAAUUAUUAUAGAUUGAUGAAGUGAUGCUGCAGAGUGUUUGUAGCUGUCACGUCAUGUACAACAAAUUAUUAUUCGUCGUCUAACGUAACUUAUUAACCAUGCAUGCAAUAUUAUUUUACAGGAUCCUGUUGGGCAUUUUCAGCUGUGGCGGCGGUGGAAGGGAUCACUCAGAUUACUAGGGGAAAACUUAUUGAACUUUCGGAGCAGCAGUUGGUAGACUGCUCAACAGACAACCAUGGAUGCAGUGGGGGUCUUAUGGAUAAGGCCUUUGAGUAUAUUAUAGAAAAUAAGGGCCUUGCCACAGAAGCGGACUAUCCGUACCGGCACGAAGAAGGAACCUGUGACAAUCAGAAAGAGAAAGCAGUUGCUGCUACAAUCAGUAAAUAUGAAGAUUUACCGAAAGGUGACGAGCAAGCCUUACUCCAGGCCGUAAGCAAUCAGCCAGUAUCAGUUUGUGUUGACGCGAGCGGACGAGCCUUCCAUUUUUACAAAAGCGGUGUGCUUAAUGCAGACUGUGGGAAUAACUGUGAUCAUGGUGUCGCUGUUGUUGGGUUUGGAACUGCUGAAGAAGAAAAUGGAGCCAAAUACUGGUUAAUUAAGAAUUCGUGGGGGGAGACUUGGGGUGAGUCCGGCUACAUAAGGAUUCUCAGAGAUGCAGGUCUCUGUGGCAUUGCCACUGCGGCUUCCUAUCCAGUUGCAAUAUGACUACUAUAAUUUUAUUAGCCUCCUCUUCAUAGCAGUAUCAAUGAGGUUGUGCUAUCCUACAUGUGGAAAUAAUUUAAUCUUGUUGGAGUCUUAAUUAGUUUUGGAGUAUUGAUGAUAUCUUCAUCAACUUCAAAUUAACCCACGGAUGUAUUAGCUAGCCACUGAAAGCUGAUAUUUAUCUAUUGUGUGGUUAAUUUUCUAUAUUUCUUAAUGUUUGUAAUGGAAUUAAUGCCAGUAUACUUGGUAUCUUCUAUAAUUAAUGUUAAAUCUCUUGUUUAAAUAUAAUUUUCAUCUUCGCCGCAGUUACUUUAUUACAAUUUAAGUAAUAAAUUAAUUAUAUUAUUUAUUUAUCAAAUUCUUAUUGAUAAAUUGAAAGGUUUUUUUAAAUAAAAGUAUUUUAGGAGAAAAUUGUGAAAAAAGCCGGCUCCAAUUGUUAAUUUGGAGCAAUUAAUUGGAACCAGCUCAUGUUUUAAAAUACAUUCACACUCCUCCCAGCAGAUAUUAACCGUGAAGCUUAAGUACUAUUUUGAGAAUAUGAAUGAAGUAAAAUAACCAACAAGCGUGUAGAUCAGCUGGUAUGAGAUUGUUCUAACUUAAUCAAGAUCGUUGGUUCGAGACUUGGGAAUGCAGCUGUGUUAAAUACUUGUUGGGAGAGCUUUCCCGGCCUAGUGGUCUUGCCUGACUCGAAUUUAAAUUAGUCAGAGUCCAAUGUGGUCUUUGAAUACUAGAUGGUUUAAUGCACCAAAAAAAAAAAAUAACAUACAUAUCCUCGAUGAGCAACAACUUCAUUUUCUUUUGAGCAUUUAUUCUUCUCAUAUUCAUCACUCUGAAUUUAGUGAAUGGUAUAAUGACGGAGAUGAGUUUCGCUACAAGAUCAAAAGAGAAAUUUUUUAGUACACAAAUGGCUCAAAUUAAGUUAUAUUUCAUGGUAACCACAAAAGAUUUUAGUUAUUAGAACCAAAGAGAAAAUUUAUAGUUACGCAUACCACUCAAUUUAGGUUGAUGUAUAUUUUGCAACUCAAUCAAUAAAAGCUUGUGACAUUAGAGUAGAUUUUUUACAUCAGUUUUGAUAAUGUUUAUACAAGUACCGUUAAUAAAUAUUUUGCGGAGGUUCACUUAAAAAAAUGAGAGGUUUUAUAUUACUAUAUGUUUAUGCCAUUGUCAACGUUUAUUUUAUUUUAUUAUUUAUGCCCAUAAAUCUCACACAUAAAAUUAACAUACAAAUUGUUUUAUUUUAUUCAUAUUCCAAAGUUUUAUAACCACUAAAGGUAAAUUUUGUGAAUCCUAUAUCUAUUAGAUAAGAAAUUCUAGAAUUUCUCCUAUUAGAUUAUGUGACACCGCUGAUCCCACUAUGAAACCUAUUGCUCUAUCAUUCAAGCAUACAAACUGAACACACUCAAGUAGUAUUAUGGGCUAAAACAAAAAAAACAUUUCUCUGUGUGUGUGUGUGUAUAGACACACAUACAGACACAUACUAUUAUGUAUCGUUGGUGUAGAUAUAUAUACAUAUAAAUAUAUUCUCUGUGUAUGUGCAUACUAUUAUGUGACACCGGUAAUCUCACUAUGGGUCUCACUGCUAUAUUAAUAUUUCUUAAUUCUAAUGUAAAUUUGAGAUUUGAAGUUAUAUCUCUUGUACCACUUUAAACAAAUUUACAAUUAAACCAACUACCAUCCAUAAUCCAUUCUAAACCAUAACCAUGUAUGAUUCUUAAGAGAACGUUUAUUCAUUAAAAUUUUUAAUACUAAUAACUUUCUUUCCUUCAAAAUUUUAGAUACUACUUUGAAGUCCAUAAUUAUUUCUUUCUGUCUUUUUCCUAAACUUUUCAUUUAGUUGGUUAUGGUUAUCUUCUUUGAAGUCAUUAGUUUUCUAAAAUCGGUAUAAAAUUAUAUUCAUAAAUAGAAACAAAAUGAAAGCCAUUUCCAUCCAGCUAGGCGUGCAAUAAGAAAAAUGCUAACCUUAUUAUAUGUGGCUCCAAUUGGAGUUGAGCAAAGUCCAAAUGGUCUUCAUGCACUGAAAACACACAACUGUAAUAAAAAAAUUUUAGAGGGACAAAUGGAUUUCAUGCACUCAUUUUAGUUGCUGUAGAUUCUCAACCUUAACCAACCACCCCCACAAAAUCAUCAUCUUUGUCUAUUAACGCAAUUUUUAAUUUAAUUAACUUUUAUGUUAGAAAUAAAAAAAGGGCCCUUCCAUUUUGCAUUUGCAUGCAAUACGCAUCCAAGAAAUUACCUAAGUUUCCAAUAAAGUUACGAAUAUAUAUAUAUAUAAGACAAAAGAUGGACAUGAUUUUACUCCUAAAUAGAAAAAAUUUCCACAUGCCAUUUUCACGUGUAGUUACAACCCUUACGGUCUUAUUUCUAUUAUAAAUUCAUUUCUUUUAAGAAUUUACAAUUAAUCUAAAGAAUGCUAUAAUAUUUUCAUCACAUACUAAGCCUUUAGUACCCAUAACUUCUAUUUAAAUUUAAAUUUUUUGUUAUUAUAUAGUAGUUGAGUAUAUAAAUAAUAAAAUCUCGGUGGGUUAUAACCUAAUAUAAAUAAUAUAUAUAAAUUGCGGAAAUGAAAAGAGAGAGGGGGAGGGAGAGAGAUGGCCUCAAAUUUCAUUGCUUUUGUAUAUAUCUAUCAAAAGAAAAUCUACUUGAUUUCCACAUCUUUAAGCAUUCAUAAAGCUGGAUUUAGUUGCAGUUCAAUUAGAAUUUAGAAACCUUAUCCUUGGUCAAGAUAAAUAAAUAAUAUUAAUGUUAUUUUUGAAUUUUUAAUGAAUAUAUAGUAAGUCUGUAAUGUCAUGAAUAUGUAAAAGCACAUUAAAACCUAAUAUUAAUUGUUUUUCUAAACCUCAGUAAAAAUUUAAUGAGGUUUGUUUAUCCUCUAUUUUCUCUUUCAGGGAGUCCAAGUUGCAAGAGUGAAGUGAUAAUUUGGAUUGAUUCAAAUUUAUGACUAUGACCAUGAACGUAACGUUAAAAUUUCCAGAUUUAACAAAAGGUUUUAGCAAAAACUUAAUUAGAAUUUAAUAGUGUCAUUUAUUUAAAACAAAAAAAGGAAAAAAAACAUUAAUAAUUCAGUUACAAAAAGUCACUUUGGUUAAAAAAUUAUGGACACAUGCUUCCUCCACAGUUUUGGCUUCAAACCAGCUUCCCAAGUUUCAGACCUCCUCGCCCUAUCAAAAACGACUAAAAUUGUGGUUGGAAACUUGGUCCUGAAGUUACUUAAUCACCCUUUUAAUUUAUAGUAAAAAAAAAAAAUUGUGAGCAGAAAAUAUAAAAUUUUAGCUUAAAUUGGCAUGAUGAAAGAGCUCAAGCUCUCAAGAAUCCUUCAAAAAUUACCAAUAAUAAUUAAAUUUCACUAGAUUUUUUUCGAAGAAUUUGUUUGAUUUUUCAUUACUAAUGUUAUGUGACUGAGCUGAAGUUGGGCAAUUUUCAUUAUUACAUUGACUCUCAAUUAUGGUUAAGAAAAUAACAUUUACCAAUAAUUAAUAAAACACAAGACCCUGAAAUUUUGUUCACACACAAAGCAUACAAACAAUUGAAGAAGGGUGAUAAAGUAAUAACACAACAAACGCUAAUAAAUCAUUAAAAUUAAGACAACGUUGUUGUAGCCUUAAUUCUCUUUGCUUUGUCCCACUAAUAGUGCCCCUUCAGUCGUAUCUCGACUGUAUGAUCUUCUUCAAAGCAUCCGGUGCCCACCAAACGGUCUUGAUUUAUAUAAUAACUAAGAAAUAGAACCGCAUUUGUGCGGCUUUGAAAAAAGAAUUUAGUAUUAUUCUUUUUUUCUUAUUCUACUUUUAACGAUUUAUUCUAUUCGAUUAAGAGGCAAGACUUCCAAAAAAAAAACAUGAAAAAAAUAAAGCAAAGCUAAAACCCAAAAGACUUUUUUAAUUAUUUAAACUUGCAUUAGUUAAAUUAACACCACGGAAACAGAAGUGCCAUAAAUGCACCUUGCCUAAGCCAAAGCCUUGGAAACCUGAGGCUGAUAUAUCACCGCGAGGCCACCUGGUGAAGGAGCAGAAGAUGCAUCACAGUAGCCUCUCAGUAUAUUUCCUUCGUCGGCAGUGCAUCCGAGAGAGGUGAGCAUUGCAGGCCAGCAAUUACGGGUGAUGAUAUCAAUAGCCACAUAAAUUUAGCCCCAUCUCUCUAUUUAACAUUUAACCACCCUUCCUUUCUUGAGAGCUUAAUUUUUAUUUUUUUUUAUUUUGUUUUAUUUUUUUUCUUUACUCUCUCUACUACAUGGAGCUUGAUUUAAGUUUUCGAGAUGAUUAUCCUUUCAUAUCAAGCCUAUUUCCUAAUAAUCUCUUCAAAUCAGACCUAGAUAAUGGGUUCUCGUCUAGAAAAUCCAUCUUCUAAAGGUAUAUUGUUUCACAACUAUCAUAAUAACCAUGAUUAUGGUCUUAUUAGUGAGUCCACUUUUUCAAAUCCUCACCAUCUUAAUCGAUUUACCAUCGAAGGAUCCUCAAAAAGUCCCCCUCUCGAGAUCUCAACAAUGAGUUUCAAUCCUCUUGAGGGCUAUUCAAAUGGAUUUUUAGGUACUGAGGGUGCAUAUACCGCCACUCUAUUGGUACCGAAUAGUACAAAUGAGGUUUUGCAUGGCCCGAAAAGUAGAGGAUUUUGGGAUUAUUCACAAAAAUUUUCAGCUCACCCCAAGCUGGAAACUCCAAAUUUUUUUCCGAUACUAAUGAAUUUUCAAGAUUAUGGAUCAUCGAAUUCAAAAUUGUCCGAUGAAGUCUCAUGUGUAACUGGAGAAAAUGCAUAUAAUCAAGAUCAAAAGAGGAACAAAAGGAUACCUAUGAAAAGAGAAAGGAAACUUCCAAAGAAGAACAACAUAAUCAAAGGGCAGUGGACUCCUCAAGAGGAUAGGUAAGAGAAGAACUAAAUUAAAUUUCAUUUUGUUCUUUUUUUCACAAAUUAAUCCAAAAAUUUUAUUUAUACUUUCUUCCAUUUUUUCUCCUUAGGGUUUUUUUUUUUUUUUUUGGGUACGUUUAUUGGAGUUAUUAAGAAUUGGUAUCAUAAAUCUCUCUUUGCAGAAUGUUGACCCGGCUAGUUUAAGGGGGAAAAAAUUGAUAGUUUUUGUAAUUUUCAAGUACUUGCCAUUUCAACGUCAAUUUUUAGAUAGAGGAGGAAAAAUUGAUCCUGCACGGAGAGUAAGUCUAUGACUGAAAAAAUUAGAUGAAAUUUAAGAGUAAAUACGAUAAGCAGUAUUCCAACUUGGUAGUUGCAAUUUUUUUUGAAGAUUUUGCAAGACACAGUUAGCUUAUGAUUUAUGAAGCAAAUCUAUAAUGAGAGCGAUUGCCUCAUGGUUUAUUGAAGAAAAAUUUAUAAGGAGAGCUAAUUCGAUCUUGUUUAUUGUUGGCGGCAAUUGAUAUCAGACAAUUGUUGAUUAUAUCUAACGGCCAAGGUUGGAAGUCCGAAUAUCAAAGGUCUACAAUUACGGUCAAAGUUGAUCCUGCAAAAUUUUACAUAGAUAGCUCUAUUUAAAAUUUAUUAAAAUAUAAUAGCUAUAGAGAUGACUAAGGUCCUGUUCAAUAUUGAGGAAGUGUAGCUAUUGUAGCAAAAAAUUAUGACUUUAAAAUAAAGCUUAAUAGUAUGUAAUAAAUAAGAUUUUUAAAUAAUAACUUAAUUUGAUAAAAAUAAUAAAGAUGUUAUAUCUUUUUUAUCAUAUAGGACUAGUAUUAUAAGUAAUGGAUUAAAUCAACUUAACCAGUUAUAUUAGCUAGUAUUUACUAAACACUUUAGCACUGUGGCAUUUAAAUUAAAACUGCAUAAUCUCAAUACUAAGCAUGGUCUAAUUUAAUUGUAUUGGGGACUAAUCCCUGGCAAGUUUUAUAUAGAUCCCUUUAUUCUUAGUUUUUCAAAAAUACAAUCAUACAAAUUACCAAUUUCUUCCUUCUAAUUUUUUAUUAAUAUAUAUGUAUGUAUGUAUGUAUGUAUGUAUGUAUGUAUGUAUGUAUAUGUAUAUAGGCACACACACACAUGCCCGAACAACUUGUGGAGCUUGUGAUUUCAGGACCGACUUUACAAACAACUUCUUCAAAAAUUAUGCCGCAAAUAUCAAGAGAUCAGCUGCUUCAGCUGGAAUUAAUUUUGAGGUACUUUUGUAAUUUCUUUUUAUUUAUGUAAUUUUAAAGGAAGUAUUGAUAUUUGGUCCCAAUAGUGACAUAUAGUGACAUAUGGAUUGAACUGCUACAUUGUUGUUCUAGUCAUUAACAAUUGUUCAAUUAGACCUUCCAAGGUGAUGGGAUAUGAUGAGUUGUCUUUUAACUAUCACAAAACUUAAUAUUCUUAGUUCUUAUGAAAAUCAUAGAAUACCUGACAGAAAAGAAUAAUAUAUUUUUUAUCUUAUUUUACAUAGAUUUUACUGUUUGAUCGAGUCUUGGAUAGAUUUUAAAUACAUUAUAUCAUCUACAGUAAAUUUUCUAUAAAAUAAUAUUGUUGGGAUUAAGGAAAACUAUUAGUUUUGUGAUGUUAUUAAUUUACCAAUAAAUGAAUAUUUAUUAAUUUAGAAAGAGAUUUUUUGUUUUAAGAAUUUUAUCGAUAUAUGUACAUAUUUACGUGUAAAAGAACAUAAAUCGUGCUUCCUUAAGUCAAUGAUAUAUUCUCAAAUGGCUCCCACUUAUAAUAGUGUAGCUUUGUUAAGCAACUUGUAAUUAUACAAUAUUUCUUUUUUGCCUUUCCUUAGUUUGUGUAAUCAUACAUAUACCACUAUUGUGUAAGUAUUUACUUUUGAAAAAUAUGAAUACAAAAGUAUUCUCAAGAUUAAUUUGAUUAUUUUAUAAUUUCUAGUCUCAUAUCAUAAUAAUUUUCAUAUUUUUGGGCUUCAUGGGUUCUCAUUUGAAAGAAGUAAAAAGAAAAAAGAAAAUCUUAAUUGAUAGAAAAAGAUAUACUAAAUGUAGUGCAUGCUCUACAAAAUAAUUAAUGACGACAUGCGCUCAGUUAGGAACGAAGAGAAGCUAAAAAAGCAAAAGAAAAACUUUAGAUGCAUAUUUUUCAAAGAAUUGAAUUCAAAUAAUAGAAAUUGUAAAAAAAAAGUUCCUUAAUUUUAUGAGUUAUAUAAUUUAUUCAUUAUUAAUUUUUGUAUGAGAUUAAUUAUGAGUUUAUAUUUUCAAUGGGUCCUAAAGGAUUCAAAAAGUCGCUAUUGUCUUACGCAUUUAACAAAGCUAUUUAUUUGCUACACUGGCUCAAUUUGGAACUUGAUGAUUUAAUUAUUUAUCAAGAUUAUUAACUUAUCGGAUAGUUAUUUAUCAAUGUUUUAUUUAUGUUUUACGUUAAUUAAAAAAAGAAAUUAUAUAAAAGAAAAAUAAACUAAUUUAAUGAUAUUCGCUUAUGCGCACUCUUGAGUGUAUGAGCUCAACAUCCUUUUCGUGAUUUGGAGAAGCACAAUUGGAAAAAACCAGAUAACAAAAAAAAUUAUUAAAAUAGACACACAUAGAUUGAAGGAUUUCUUAAAUUAUUAAAGUUAGAAAUAAGUUAAAGGACAAUAAAAAUACAAACUUCAAUAUAGUACAGAACAAAAUACACUGCACUGCAGUAUGUGUUUUGUUUGUAAUUUAGUUUGUCCUUUAUUUCAACAACUUAAAAGAUCCCUUAUUAGAUAAAGACUAUAUAUAUAUAUAUAUAUAACGAAAAUGUUGAAUAGGAGCACGCCCAAAGAAUAUGGUGACGAAACAAGGGGCUCUUAAGUGAUUAAUGACUCUUUUUUUGUAUCUAUGUUUAGUUUUACUGUUGCCCCCACUCCAACAGUUAAACAUAUCUUUUAUUUUGUAAUCCUUUUGAGUUCUUAGGGUAACUUAGUUAUUAGAAUGCCACCGGCAUUCGUUCCGAGCAUAGUUCAAGCUCUCCAUAAGAUUCGUAUGGUUAAAUUAGUUACAACUUUCCUUGUUUGUAGACAAAGCUAAUUCGGAAUUGUCUUUAGUUUCAUGGUUUAACUUGUAUCCAUUUACUUCAUAUUGGCCUCGAGUUCACUCAUGGAAAUAUAACCAUCCCCAAAUCUCUCACGUCAAUCGCAUGAUCCUCUUAUCCUUUCCCAUUCUUAUUUACUCAAGGUGCGCGGGGAAGCGGAAAUAAAGAAAACUCAAUUUGUACUACUCUAAGUUGUGUUCUAUAAUGCUCAAUUUGAAAAACAAAUAAAGGAAAAACACACAUACUCACAAAUGUAAUAAUAUGGAGAUUGGUUUCCCAUUUUUAUAAGCCAUAACAUAUUUAUGAUUUUUAUUGUAUUUUCUUGCAAUUAUGCCUUCAUUAAUUCGAAUUGUAUAUUAUGCUAUAAUACUCUUGAUGUAUCUGGGAAUUAAGCAUUCCUUCAUGCUGACCUUAUUAGUAUUGUGGCUUUUGUGAGACAUGGGCCCUCCGUCCAAACGUGAACGAAUAAAACUAUCGAAAUCAAGUAAUACACAAGUUUCCACGACGCGGCAUGACUUAAGCUCAUAACUCUUUUGUAACAUGGCUGAUGAACGAGCUGUCAUAGAUAGCGCCAUAAGGCCAUGGCGUCGCGAAGCGGCAAUCUCCUAGCUGUCAAAGUUGGCGUUGGCUGCAUCUAGAAGAGUUUGGCUUGGCUGCAUCUUGGCUGCAUCUAGAAGCUUUGACAAGAAUAGUUGGCAAGCUUUGAAAAUUGCACACGGUUUUGAUGAAGAAUUUGGUGAACACGGCUUUGAUUUUCUUGGCCACUACUUUGCUAUAAAUACAAGUGAAAUUGAAGAACAAAAUCAUUCCAUUUUUAGAGAGCAAUUUAGGGAGUUUAAGAGAGAGUUUAAGAGCUUGCAUUUAUAAGCUCUUGUUACAGUGAUUGAGAGAGUUUGGGUGUAUUGGGGUUUUGGGUAGUGAGCUAAAAUACUACAAUACUUGUAACUCCUUUUCACUAGUAAAAUAUUUCAUUCUGUCUUCGCCCGUGGAUGUAGGCUAAAAGCCGAACCACGUAAUUUCUGGUGUCCUCUAGUGUGCUUGUUCUUUAUUUUAUUUCCAAUUUUAUUUUAGCUGCGGUCCUGCUGCACCCACCAAUUUCCUAACACUAGCUAGCAAAGUAGCAAUAAUCACGGUGAUUAACUGAUGCUAAUUAGCUAAUUUGAUUGAAAGUCGUGAAGUAUGGGGCACGAACGAUCGACCAACGCAAUGCAUACGUCUUGGAUGCAUUAGGGACACCAAAUGUGAUCCAUAUAUAUGCUAGCCAGUACUAUAUAUAGAGCAACAAUGUGUGCCUCGAGUAUUCACAAAUUACUAACAAAUUAGUAAUAUACCAAAAAAGGGAGGGAAAAAAAUACAACAACCAUGGUUUUAAAAUUUGAGAAAAGCUUUAUCAUUCCCAUGUUUGUGAUCAUCAUUUUGGUGAUCACUUGUGCAUCACAAGUGGUGUCCGGCCGGUCGAUGCAUGAACCGUCCAUCGUUGAGAAACACGAACAAUGGAUGGCUCAGCAUGGACGCACUUACAAGGACGAGCUAGAGAAGGCAAUGCGUCUUACGAUAUUCAAGCAAAACCUUGAAUACAUUGAGAAAGCCAACAAGGAGGGGAAUCGGACGUACAAGUUGGGCACCAAUGAAUUUUCAGACUUAACUAACGAGGAGUUUCGUGCUUCAUAUACAGGAUACAACAGGCCAGUACCAAGCGUAAGCCGCCAGUCAUCACGGCCAUCCACCUUCAAGUACCAAAACGUGACUGAUGUUCCGACUAGCAUCGACUGGAGGGAGAAAGGAGCUGUCACUCAUAUAAAGAACCAAGGCCAUUG
rnacentral:lncRNA from 1 species